GAAAGAUGGCUUUGGCUAUCACUCUGGGAUGGACCUGCGGUGCAUUAGCUAGUUGGUAAGGUAACGGCUUACCAAGGCGAUGAUGCAUAGCCGAGUUGAGAGACUGAUCGGCCACAAUGGAACUGAGACACGGUCCAUACUCCUACGGGAGGCAGCAGUAGGGAAUCUUCCACAAUGGGCGCAAGCCUGAUGGAGCAACACCGCGUGAGUGAAGAAGGGUUUCGGCUCGUAAAACUCUGUUGUUGGAGAAGAACGUGCGUGAGAGUAACUGUUCACGCAGUGACGGUAUCCAACCAGAAAGUCACGGCUAACUACGUGCCAGCAGCCGCGGUAAUACGUAGGUGGCAAGCGUUAUCCGGAUUUAUUGGGCGUAAAGCGAGCGCAGGCGGUUGCUUAGGUCUGAUGUGAAAGCCUUCGGCUUAACCGAAGAAGUGCAUCGGAAACCGGGCGACUUGAGUGCAGAAGAGGACAGUGGAACUCCAUGUGUAGCGGUGGAAUGCGUAGAUAUAUGGAAGAACACCAGUGGCGAAGGCGGCUGUCUGGUCUGCAACUGACGCUGAGGCUCGAAAGCAUGGGUAGCGAACAGGAUUAGAUACCCUGGUAGUCCAUGCCGUAAACAAU
rnacentral:rRNA from 1 species